rnacentral:rRNA from 1 species
CCUACGGGGGGCAGCAGUGGGGAAUAUUGCACAAUGGGGGAAACCCUGAUGCAGCGACGCCGCGUGAGUGAAGAAGUAAUUCGUUAUGUAAAGCUCUAUCAGCAGGGAAGAAAAUGACGGUACCUGAGUAAGACUCCCCGGCUAACUCCGUUCCAGCCGCCGCGGUCAUACGUAGGGGGCAAGCGUUAUCCGGAUUUACUGGGUGUAAAGGGAGCGUAGACGGCAGUGCAAGUCUGGAGUGAAAGGCGGGGGCGCAACCCCCGGACUGCUCUGGAAACUGUACGGCUGGAGUGCAGGAGAGGUAAGUGGAAUUCCUAGUGUAGCGGUGAAAUGCGUAGAUAUUAGGAGGAACACCAGUGGCGAAGGCGGCUUACUGGACUGUAACUGACGUUGAGGCUCGAAAGCGUGGGGAGCAAACAGGAUUAGAUACCCCAGUAGUC